rnacentral:rRNA from 1 species
UGGGGAAUCUUGGACAAUGGGCGAAAGCCUGAUCCAGCAAUGCCGCGUGUGUGAAGAAGGCCUUCGGGUUGUAAAGCACUUUUGUCCGGAAAGAAAUCCUUGGCUCUAAUACAGUCGGGGGAUGACGGUACCGGAAGAAUAAGCACCGGCUAACUACGUGCCAGCAGCCGCGGUAAUACGUAGGGUGCAAGCGUUAAUCGGAAUUACUGGGCGUAAAGCGUGCGCAGGCGGUUUGCUAAGACCGAUGUGAAAUCCCCGGGCUCAACCUGGGAACUGCAUUGGUGACUGGCAGGCUAGAGUAUGGCAGAGGGGGGUAGAAUUCCACGUGUAGCAGUGAAAUGCGUAGAGAUGUGGAGGAAUACCGAUGGCGAAGGCAGCCCCCUGGGCCAAUACUGACGCUCAUGCACGAAAGCGUGGGGAGCAAACAGGAUUAGAUACCCUGGUAGUCCACGCCCUAAACGAUGUCAACUAGUUGUUGGGGAUUCAUUUCCUUAGUAACGUAGCUAACGCGUGAAGUUGACCGCCUGGGGAGUACGGUCGCAAGAUUAAAACUCAAAGGAAUUGACGGGG